rfam:Dipodomys ordii contig_1222, whole genome shotgun sequence.
GGGAAGGUGGCUCAGUGGUAGGGUGCUUGCCUUGCAUACAUGAGGACCUGGGUUCGAUUCCUCAGCCCCA